CGCGGCUCACAAAGAAAAGUGUUAAGGGUCCAUGAGGGAAAGUGGUCCACGGGUCCAUGGGAUUUAAAAACCAAGUCAGCCGUUAACCAUUGAAAUGGUUUUAGCCAAAUAGGAAAUGGGUUAGCCCAUUUUGUAAUAAAGCAAGCCUAUUUGGUUCUAAUCCAAAUUGACAGCCGAUUUAAAUGAUUUUUGACUCGGAAAAAAUUCCACAUGAGUCCGACUCAUGGGGAAUUCAAUUGGGUCCAGUUUCGGCUCGAUCCAAGUCCGACUUAGAUCAGAACAAAUACGAAAUUAAAUUCCACUUAAAUCAUGAUCGAGCCCAAUUACACUAAUUUAGACCCAAUCAAAUCCAAUCUCAACAAUUGAGUCCUGAUCAAGUUCCAUUACAUUAAUUGAAACUUGAUUGACCUGAAAUAC
rnacentral:lncRNA from 1 species